GAAACUGGGAAACUUGAGUGCAGAAGAGGACAGUGGAACUCCAUGUGUAGCGGUGAAAUGCGUAGAUAUAUGGAAGAACACCAGUGGCGAAGGCGGCUGUCUGGUCUGUAACUGACGCUGAGGCUCGAAAGUAUGGGUAGCAAACAGGAUUAGAUACCCUGGUAGUCCAUACCGUAAACGAUGAAUGCUAAGUGUUGGAGGGUUUCCGCCCUUCAGUGCUGCAGCUAACGCAUUAAGCAUUCCGCCUGGGGAGUACGGCCGCAAGGCUGAAACUCAAAGGAAUUGACGGGGGCCCGCACAAGCGGUGGAGCAUGUGGUUUAAUUCGAAGCUACGCGAAGAACCUUACCAGGUCUUGACAUACUAUGCAAAUCUAAGAGAUUAGACGUUCCCUUCGGGGACAUGGAUACAGGUGGUGCAUGGUUGUCGUCAGCUCGUGUCGUGAGAUGUUGGGUUAAGUCCCGCAACGAGCGCAACCCUUAUUAUCAGUUGCCAGCAUUAAGUUGGGCACUCUGGUGAGACUGCCGGUGACAAACCGGAGGAAGGUGGGGAUGACGUCAAAUCAUCAUGCCCCUUAUGACCUGGGCUACACACGUGCUACAAUGGAUGGUACAACGAGUUGCGAACUCGCGAGAGUAAGCUAAUCUCUUAAAGCCAUUCUCAGUUCGGAUUGUAGGCUGCAACUCGCCUACAUGAAGUCGGAAUCGCUAGUAAUCGCGGAUCAGCAUGCCGCGGUGAAUACGUUCCCGGGCCUUGUACACACCGCCCGUCACACCAUGAGAGUUUGUAACACCCAAAGUCGGUGGGGUAACCUUUUAGGAACCAGCCGCCUAAGGUGGGACAGAUGAUUAGGGUGAAGUCGUAACAAGGUAACC
rnacentral:rRNA from 1 species